rnacentral:rRNA from 1 species
GGGUUGUGAGGUUAAGCGACUAAGCGUACACGGUGGAUGCCCUGGCAGUCAGAGGCGAUGAAGGACGUGCUAAUCUGCGAUAAGCGUCGGUAAGGUGAUAUGAACCGUUAUAACCGGCGAUUUCCGAAUGGGGAAACCCAGUGUGAUUCGUCACACUAUCAUUAACUGAAUCCAUAGGUUAAUGAGGCGAACCGGGGGAACUGAAACAUCUAAGUACCCCGAGGAAAAGAAAUCAACCGAGAUUCCCCCAGUAGCGGCGAGCGAACGGGGAGCAGCCCAGAGCCUGAAUCAGUGUGUGUGUUAGUGGAAGCGUCUGGAAAGGCGCGCGAUACAGGGUGACAGCCCCGUACACAAAAAUGCACAUGCUGUGAGCUCGAUGAGUAGGGCGGGACACGUGGUAUCCUGUCUGAAUAUGGGGGGACCAUCCUCCAAGGCUAAAUACUCCUGACUGACCGAUAGUGAACCAGUACCGUGAGGGAAAGGCGAAAAGAACCCCGGCGAGGGGAGUGAAAAAGAACCUGAAACCGUGUACGUACAAGCAGUGGGAGCACAGAGCAAUCUGUGUGACUGCGUACCUUUUGUAUAAUGGGUCAGCGACUUAUAUUCUGUAGCAAGGUUAACCGAAUAGGGGAGCCGAAGGGAAACCGAGUCUUAACUGGGCGUUAAGUUGCAGGGUAUAGACCCGAAACCCGGUGAUCUAGCCAUGGGCAGGUUGAAGGUUGGGUAACACUAACUGGAGGACCGAACCGACUAAUGUUGAAAAAUUAGCGGAUGACUUGUGGCUGGGGGUGAAAGGCCAAUCAAACCGGGAGAUAGCUGGUUCUCCCCGAAAGCUAUUUAGGUAGCGCCUCGUGAAUUCAUCUCCGGGGGUAGAGCACUGUUUCGGCAAGGGGGUCAUCCCGACUUACCAACCCGAUGCAAACUGCGAAUACCGGAGAAUGUUAUCACGGGAGACACACGGCGGGUGCUAACGUCCGUCGUGAAGAGGGAAACAACCCAGACCGCCAGCUAAGGUCCCAAAGUCAUGGUUAAGUGGGAAACGAUGUGGGAAGGCCCAGACAGCCAGGAUGUUGGCUUAGAAGCAGCCAUCAUUUAAAGAAAGCGUAAUAGCUCACUGGUCGAGUCGGCCUGCGCGGAAGAUGUAACGGGGCUAAACCAUGCACCGAAGCUGCGGCAGCGACGCUUAUGCGUUGUUGGGUAGGGGAGCGUUCUGUAAGCCUGCGAAGGUGUGCUGUGAGGCAUGCUGGAGGUAUCAGAAGUGCGAAUGCUGACAUAAGUAACGAUAAAGCGGGUGAAAAGCCCGCUCGCCGGAAGACCAAGGGUUCCUGUCCAACGUUAAUCGGGGCAGGGUGAGUCGACCCCUAAGGCGAGGCCGAAAGGCGUAGUCGAUGGGAAACAGGUUAAUAUUCCUGUACUUGGUGUUACUGCGAAGGGGGGACGGAGAAGGCUAUGUUGGCCGGGCGACGGUUGUCCCGGUUUAAGCGUGUAGGCUGGUUUUCCAGGCAAAUCCGGAAAAUCAAGGCUGAGGCGUGAUGACGAGGCACUACGGUGCUGAAGCAACAAAUGCCCUGCUUCCAGGAAAAGCCUCUAAGCAUCAGGUAACAUCAAAUCGUACCCCAAACCGACACAGGUGGUCAGGUAGAGAAUACCAAGGCGCUUGAGAGAACUCGGGUGAAGGAACUAGGCAAAAUGGUGCCGUAACUUCGGGAGAAGGCACGCUGAUAUGUAGGUGAAGUCCCUCGCGGAUGGAGCUGAAAUCAGUCGAAGAUACCAGCUGGCUGCAACUGUUUAUUAAAAACACAGCACUGUGCAAACACGAAAGUGGACGUAUACGGUGUGACGCCUGCCCGGUGCCGGAAGGUUAAUUGAUGGGGUUAGCGCAAGCGAAGCUCUUGAUCGAAGCCCCGGUAAACGGCGGCCGUAACUAUAACGGUCCUAAGGUAGCGAAAUUCCUUGUCGGGUAAGUUCCGACCUGCACGAAUGGCGUAAUGAUGGCCAGGCUGUCUCCACCCGAGACUCAGUGAAAUUGAACUCGCUGUGAAGAUGCAGUGUACCCGCGGCAAGACGGAAAGACCCCGUGAACCUUUACUAUAGCUUGACACUGAACAUUGAGCCUUGAUGUGUAGGAUAGGUGGGAGGCUUUGAAGUGUGGACGCCAGUCUGCAUGGAGCCGACCUUGAAAUACCACCCUUUAAUGUUUGAUGUUCUAACGUGGACCCGUAAUCCGGGUUGCGGACAGUGUCUGGUGGGUAGUUUGACUGGGGCGGUCUCCUCCUAAAGAGUAACGGAGGAGCACGAAGGUUGGCUAAUCCUGGUCGGACAUCAGGAGGUUAGUGCAAUGGCAUAAGCCAGCUUGACUGCGAGCGUGACGGCGCGAGCAGGUGCGAAAGCAGGUCAUAGUGAUCCGGUGGUUCUGAAUGGAAGGGCCAUCGCUCAACGGAUAAAAGGUACUCCGGGGAUAACAGGCUGAUACCGCCCAAGAGUUCAUAUCGACGGCGGUGUUUGGCACCUCGAUGUCGGCUCAUCACAUCCUGGGGCUGAAGUAGGUCCCAAGGGUAUGGCUGUUCGCCAUUUAAAGUGGUACGCGAGCUGGGUUUAGAACGUCGUGAGACAGUUCGGUCCCUAUCUGCCGUGGGCGCUGGAGAACUGAGGGGGGCUGCUCCUAGUACGAGAGGACCGGAGUGGACGCAUCACUGGUGUUCGGGUUGUCAUGCCAAUGGCACUGCCCGGUAGCUAAAUGCGGAAGAGAUAAGUGCUGAAAGCAUCUAAGCACGAAACUUGCCCCGAGAUGAGUUCUCCCUGACUCCUUGAGAGUCCUGAAGGAACGUUGAAGACGACGACGUUGAUAGGCCGGGUGUGUAAGCGCAGCGAUGCGUUGAGCUAACCGGUACUAAUGAACCGUGAGGCUUAACCUUACAACGCCGAAG